GUGUCAGAUUUGCCAUAGUUGAGCCUCACCAAAUUCAAGAGAAGAAACCAUAGGAUCCACCUCUCCAUUGUAGAAAGAUCGUUUAAGAUAGAAUAUAUUCGGGGUGCCUGGGUGGCUCAGUCGGUUAAACGACUGCCUUCGGCUCGGGUCAUGCUCCCAGGGUCCUGGGAUCGAGUCCCGCAUCGGGCUCCCUGCUCGGUGGAGAGCCUGCUUCUCCCUCUCCCUCUGUCUGCCGCUCUGCCUACUUACGCUCUCUCUCUAUCUCUGUUAAAUAAAUAAAUUAAAAAAAAAAAAAUCUUAAAAAAAAUUAAAAAAAAAGAAUAUAUUGAUGUGAACAUCUUUGGAAAUUACUGUCUGUCAAAACAGCACUGCUUAGUGUGAGGAAAUAAAUCUAUAUUUGAUUAAGCCAUCAUAGCCAAGUUCCUAUAACACACAUAUAUUCUGUUAUAGAUACAUAUUGCAUAUGUUUUUGUUUGUUUCCAUGCUUAAUAUGUGUCCUCUACUAGACUGUGAACUCCACUAGGGCAGAGAUUAUUUCCUAUUGUGCUCCCUGUCUUGUUUACAGUAGCUGUUAAUUUUAACAAGAAUUUGUUGAAAUGUACCCUGAAGCAAUAGAGAGAAGGCUGAGAGCUUUGGGAGUUAAAUGUCUUUCACUGUGGUCAAGUACAGAGUUCCAUGUUGCAAUACACUGACUCACAGCCAUCAGGAGGGAGACUUCUAGGCCUGAUCUACUCCCGAACCUUGAAGAUUAGCCAGGGAAGAGGGACAUAUUACUGUGAAGUGACAUGCAAGUGAAGUUCAUUGCCAGGGUGGCUUCCCAAAGUUUCACCUUCAUUCCAAAGGGGAGAAAAGCAUUCUGAACUCUAGCGGUCAAGAAAAGUCUCCUCCCAUAGCUCUGAAUGCGGGGAGCAAAACUGACUGCUGGUCCCAGCUGCUGCACUCCGAAAUCCAGUACUGCUUUUGUGCUGAAGUCAAUGAUUGCGAAUGGCAGAGAUACUCAGGCAGGCCUGUGCUGGGAGACACACACUUCUCCGAUGUGCAAGUUUGGCUGCCUUGCCGAAGCACUGUUAGAACUGCACUGUAGGGGCGCCUGGGUGGCUCAGUCGUUAAGCGUCUGCCUUCGGAUCAGGUCAUGGUCCCAGGGUCCUGGGAUCGAGCCCCGCAUCAGGCUCCCUGCUCAGCGGGAAGCCUGCUUCUCCGUCUCCCACUCCCCCUGCUUGUGUUCCCUCUCUCGCUGUGUCUCUCUCUGUCAAAUAAAUAAAUAAAAUCUUAAAAAAAAAAAAAAAAAAGAACAGCACUGUAGUCUAAGACUUUCCCUACACAAAUUUACUUCCUUCCACCUCUCCUCCAUGAGGAUCAGACCUGUGUCAAGAUCUGAGCACCCUCCCAACCUCUUCAUACUCCCCAUUUUCCCUCAGGUGAUUUUCUUCAGUAAAUGACUUGCAUGUCUAUACCUGUCUAAUAUCUGCUUCUCAGAGGACCCAACCUAAUGCAAGUAGUGCCAGGAAGUGACCAGUAAAAUGGGGUCUGGGACCAAGUCACUCACUGUCAGUCAAGGAGGAUGCUAUUCUGAAGAAUGCAGGGCACAGAGAGUUGCACCCACGUGAUCCACUUCAAGCACUGAUGAUUUCACAGAAGUGACCUGGGAAAAUACCCCUGGAGAGAGAAAUUCUUUUAUAGAUUUAAUAAAUCAGGCAUUUGAAAAAUAUUGGAGCAACAAUGCUUAGAAGGCAUCGGAGCUUAUUACUGCAAAGUGGAAUUACUGCCUCGCAAAAGGCUAAUGUGAAAUUCAGGGCUUAAAGAUGACGUGUGAAGAGCCACAGGGCUCUAUGGUAGCUCUCUGAGCCUCUUACUCUGUAGUGAAAGAGCAGACAGAGCUAAGCGACCAACGGAAGGUGUCAUAUUUGAAGCUUCAGAGUUCCAGACACGCUUCACUGCCCGGCUGAGUGGGUGGGUACGCCAAGCUAAAAUCAGGGCUCCAGUUGGAGCCCUGGAACAUGCUUGAGGUGAGGAUUUCUGAAUUGGCUCCUCCCAAAGCGUUACCUCUGCACAUCUUCCUGCUCCAAAUCCUCCAAGGUCACACUUUGCCUACUUUUCCUUAGCAAGAGUGAGCUGCCUUGCUGGAAGAUGCUGAAGAGGCCCAUCUCCUGUGAGGACUCAGGGGCUUCUCUCAUGGACACCCCGCCACCCUGAACUCAUCUCCCAGCUACCAAGCCAAAUACAGGGUUCAAUCACAGGAUUACUGGGCUGGGGAAAUGCCAGGCCAAGGAGGGAGGAAAGGAAUAGUUCAUGCAAGGAAACGUAACAAUCGCUUACAUACCAGUAACAUGAGCCAAAGACUGUCUUUAGGAUUGGAUUUUUU